rnacentral:sRNA from 2 species
AACCAACAGUUCAAGAGAAUAAGGUCUGUGCUUACAAUCACUAUAUUCAACACUGGAUAUAUGAUGUAUACAACAUUUUAAUGAAUGCUCUGAUCAGGUAAUUCUCUGGACCUUAAUUUUAUAAAACCUUGCUGACCCUGGAUGAAGCACAAAAUCACACAAAAGAGUGCAUCAAAGAACCGGGCAGAAGGGAUUAAAACAUGAAAGCAGUGUUGAAAAGAACUUUCACAGACAACUGCACAAGCAUGAAUAAAGUGGAUUCCUACUCAUAUCCAAAAGAUUAUAGAGCUAGAAUAUGGAAAUAAAUACAAAGAAGACUGC